GACGAACGCUGGCGGCGUGCUUAACACAUGCAAGUCGAACGGAAAGGCCCUGCUUUUGUGGGGUGCUCGAGUGGCGAACGGGUGAGUAACACGUGAGUAACCUGCCCUUGACUUUGGGAUAACUUCAGGAAACUGGGGCUAAUACCGGAUAGGAGCUCCUGCUGCAUGGUGGGGGUUGGAAAGUUUCGGCGGUUGGGGAUGGACUCGCGGCUUAUCAGCUUGUUGGUGGGGUAGUGGAUUACCAAGGCUUUGACGGGUAGCCGGCCUGAGAGGGUGACCGGCCACAUUGGGACUGAGAGACGGCCCAGACUCCUACGGGAGGCAGCAGUGGGGAAUAUUGCACGAUGGGCGGAAGACUGAUGCAGCAACGCCGCGUGCGGGAUGACGGCCUUCGGGUUGUAAACCGCUUUCGCCUGUGACGAAGCGUGAGUGACGGUAAUGGGUAAAGAAGCACCGGCUAACUACGUG
rnacentral:rRNA from 1 species